CCUACGGGGGGCAGCAGUGGGGAAUAUUGGACAAUGGGGGGAACCCUGAUCCAGCGACGCCGCGUGAGUGAAGAAGUAUUUCGGUAUGUAAAGCUCUAUCAGCAGGGAAGAAAAUGACGGUACCUGACUAAGAAGCCCCGGCUAACUACGGGCCAGCAGCCGCGGUAAUACGUAGGGGGCAAGCGUUAUCCGGAUUUACUGGGUGUAAAGGGGGCGUAGACGGUGCAGCAAGUCUGAUGGGAAGGGUCGGGGCCCAACCCCGGGACUGCAUUGGAAACUGUUGAACUGGAGUACAGGAGAGGUAAGCGGAAUUCCUGGUGUAGCGGUGAAAUGCGUAGAUAUUAGGAGGAACACCAGUGGCGAAGGCGGCUUACUGGACUGUAACUGACGCUGAAGCACGAAAGCGUGGGUAUCGAACAGGAUUAGAUACCCGGGUAGUC
rnacentral:rRNA from 1 species